rnacentral:rRNA from 1 species
UACGUAGGGCGCAAGCGUUGUCCGGAAUUAUUGGGCGUAAAGAGCUCGUAGGCGGCUUGUCACGUCGGUUGUGAAAGCCCGGGGCUUAACCCCGGGUCUGCAGUCGAUACGGGCAGGCUAGAGUGUGGUAGGGGAGAUUGGAAUUUCUGGUGUAGCGGUGGAAUGCGCAGAUAUCAGGAGGAACACCGAUGGCGAAGGCAGAUCUCUGGGCCGUAACUGACGCUGAGGAGCGAAAGCGUGGGGAGCGAACAGG